GCAAAAAAGUUUUCAAUUUGAGGGCAGAUAAAGAAUAUUUUCAAGCAUUUGUAGGAAUUUAUAUUUCAUUUCUUACUUUUGUAUUGUAAGUUUGAUUAGAAAGGAUAUUGAGAUAUAACUUGUAGGGAAUAAGACAUUAUGGGGUUAGUUUCCUUUUUUUGAGCAUGCAUGGUCUUGUUAUCCCAGGGGCUAGGAUUUAGCAUGUCGUUUAACUUGUGCAAUGAAUGGGGUGCCUAGGGCUGCCCAAAUCCUUGGUACCUUUCACAAUUAGCAAAUCUGAGUUGUGCCAAAUUUUGGCUGCACUCAAUCAAAGUGUUCUGUUCGUGG
rnacentral:lncRNA from 1 species